rnacentral:rRNA from 1 species
AUUGAACGCUGGCGGCAUGCCUUACACAUGCAAGUCGAACGGUAACAGGUCUUCGGAUGCUGACGAGUGGCGAACGGGUGAGUAAUACAUCGGAACGUGCCUAGUAGUGGGGGAUAACUACUCGAAAGAGAGGCUAAUACCGCAUGAGAUCUACGGAUGAAAGCAGGGGAUCGCAAGACCUUGUGCUACUAGAGCGGCGGAUGGCAGAUUAGGUAGUUGGUGGGAUAAAAGCGUACCAAGCCGACGAUCUGUAGCUGGUCUGAGAGGACGAUCAGCCACACUGGGACUGAGACACGGCCCAGACUCCUACGGGAGGCAGCAGUGGGGAAUUUUGGACAAUGGGCGCAAGCCUGAUCCAGCAAUGCCGCGUGCAGGAUGAAGGCCUUCGGGUUGUAAACUGCUUUUGUACGGAACGAAAAGCCCUGGGUUAAUACCCUGGGGUCAUGACGGUACCGUAAGAAUAAGCACCGGCUAACUACGUGCCAGCCGCCGCCGUAA